UCAGGUGAAGAAGGCCCAACAGUGGCUGCACUUUCUUUGUGUCCUGAGGAAGAACAACCCUGGACGAGAAACUGCUGCUGGCCUUGUAACGCUCGUCUGGAGGGCGUGCUCUACAUAAGGGCCAUAACUGAGAAACAACUUUCAUCUGCCACCCCUGGAGGCCAUGCCAGCUCCUCCUGUCUCACGAAAACCAGGGCCAUCACAGGUGACCCCUUGAUGCCCACCCACCAUCUGCUCAGGUCAAUCAGGUCCCACACCACCACACUCACAAACACCUUCUUCCUGUGGGCCAUUCAGACUGUUAACAAGCCCCCCCACACACACAUGAUUUUAACACCCAUGCACUCUUGAUGGUGCAUCGAUGGAGGUUGGUGAGAAUUCCGGGGUCCAUGCCAAACCACUGCAGAAAGAGGAGCCACUGUCUUGCUGCUUUUGUGAUCACAUACACGUGAUGUGAUCAGCUCAGAUCAUCACUGAUAUUAAUCCCCAGGAAUUUGAAGCAUCUCUCCACCUUCCCUCGAUAUAAAUGAUGGCGUUUGAGCUGCGUGUGGCCGCACAGUUGUAGGUGAACAAGGUGUAUAGCAGGGGGCUGAGCACACAUCCCUGGUGAGGCAUCGGUGUUGAACGUCAGUGUAGCUCACAGGUGUCGAACUCCAGGAUCCAGUCGCAUAAUGAACCACAGAUUCCAAAGCUUCAUCAUGAACCUGGAUGGAAUAAUAGGGUUGAAAGUGGAGCUCUAGUCAAUAAACAGCUUCCACACAUAUGUGUUCUUAUGGUUCAGGUGGGAGAGGGCAGUGUGCAGAGCCAGCACUAUUGCGUUGUCUGUGGGUCGGUUUGGCCUGUAGGCAAACUGAAAAGGACUGAAUGUAGCAGGCAGUGAACUAUGUCUUCCUGUGUCUGUGACACACAUGUUGCAGCUCUUCUUUUUGUUGCUGCUUUAUCAGGAACAAAAUUUAGAUCAGGGAACAUUUUCCAGUAGAUGGCACCUGGGUUGAAAAGAAAUAAGAUUUUAUGUCCUGCACAACAGUAACAGUAACCCUGAUUAUGCCAUCUUUGUAGCAACGCUGAGUGGUUUCUUCCUUCUUUGAGCAAGGAUGCCCACCCUGACCACAGAAGGUCAUGGUGGGCAACCUUACAUCAUCUGCCAUCACCAUUAACACAGGA
ensembl:lncRNA